UCAGAGGUUUGCCCUGUUCCUCUAUAGAGCCAGGCAGCUUCCGGCCGUCAGAUUAGUCGUCAGUGCGCAGACACCGCCCUCCGUGGACACGCCCUCUAGGCGAAAAGUCCCAUGCAAGCAGUGAGAGCGCGGCGGGACACGGAAAUCGAAUCUGUUCUCUGUGAGAGAUCCUAGGAGAGGAAACCGGGAGCCCGGGAGAACUAAAAUUCCCAAUUAAAAGUGAAUUUAAAUCUGAGCUGUUCUUAGACCCAGAAUUUCUUGCCUGAAGGAGGAGUCAGGUCCCCACAAGGAAAGACCCUGCAACUGUAUAAAAAAAGAAUCUAAAAAGAUCAUGACUCCUUCAGUCCUUUCCCAAAGAGACCUAUGGAAAUUUCCUCAGGGGUUAAGCUUGCAUUACAGUCUCAUGGCUCUCCUAGCCUCCUCCAGCCCUCUCCCCAUUUCUUGCACCCAAGAAUUUUCCCCAUCACACCUCUUGCACAGCUAAUCCCAUCUUGGUAUCUGCUUCUCAGAGGAUCAUAACUGACACAGGAAGAGGAAGUCUGAUACGUGGACAGUCGAGUUGAUAGUGCAUGGGUGCAAGUAAAAAAUGAAGUGGGCUGGGCGCAGUGGCUCACGCUUGUAAUCCCAGCACUUUGGGAGACCAAGGCGGGUGGAUCACCUGAGGUCAGGAGUUUGAGACCAGCCUGGCCAAUAUGGUGAAAUCCCAUCUCUACUAAAAAUGCAAAGAAUUAGCUGGGCAUGGUGGCAGGCACUGUAAUGCCAGCUACUUGGGAGGCUGAGGCAGGAGAAUUGCUUGAACCCGGGAGGCAGAGGUUGUAGUGAGCUGAUGUCGCGCCACUGCACUCUAGCCUGGGCGACAGAGGGAGACUCCAUCUCAAAAAAGAAAAAAAAAGUGAAGUGGUGCUGCAUUAUGGACUCACUCAGGUGACCAAAAGAGAGCAGAGAGGGAAAUCGUCCCAAAUAGGCAGAGCUUCAAUGUUGCAUCUCAUCAUACACCUUGGGUGGAAAAGGUGUUUCCAGUGUUAGAAUAUGCAAGAAUUCAUGGAGAGUGGCAAGUGACAUGACUGGAAAACCCCUCAAGAACCUGAAAGAGGAAAUCUUGACAGAUUGGAGACAAAGAGAUUGGAGAAACGGGGAUGUGAAUGGAACUAUGAGAGUGGACAGAAAGUGUCAAGAUCUUUGUAUCACUUAUUAAUGCCUAACCAGGAGCACCCACAACAGAAUAGACAUUAAACAGCUGCAUAAACAAAUGACUCAGCCAGUUGAUAUCAGUCAGCCUGUGUCAACAGCCACCCCAAUGCUGACACAAAGGGCACUAGAACAGAAUAGCCUGAUGGCAGAGAUGAAGUGUGCAUGGCUCCAGCAGCAUGGACUCCUCUCAUUAAGGCUGAUCUAGCUACUUGCUGCCCCAUGUCUAACUUGCCAGCAACAGAGACCAAAGUUGAGCCCCGGAAUCAGCACCAUUCCUCAAAGAGACCAGCUAGUCACUUGGUGCUUCUGGGAGGGUUGGCAGCUGACAUUCUCACCUGAGUCCCUUUCUAGGACUUGCCCUUGCCUGAAGAGAGCUGUGUUGCCCAACAUGAUGCCUCCUCCAAGGUACAGUCCACACCCAGUGACUAAUAAACAGGGGUUACAAAGGCAUGCCUGCUUGCCCCAGUUUGGGACAACUUUACCAGGCCAACCCAGUCUCAAGGCUCUCUGCAGGAACAGGUGAGGCCAUAGUUGUGACAACAUCACAGUUCAGUUUCUCCUCUGCCCAAGCCUUCUUCCUUCAUUCCUCCACAGAUGUUGAUCCUGAGAUUCCUUUGCAGUAAACUUCCUCCAUGCAAGCUUCAUCUCAGAGUCUGUUUCCUGGGGAAACUAACCUGCAACUGAUACAAAUGCCUAUUCUGUGAGAUAAAACACUAAAAGUACAAUGUGUGUGGUAUAAAUAUUCUGCUACAGGAAUACAAAGUUAGAUAUCAUUUUUGACUUAGGUAGUCAGAGAAUGGAGAUAUUCUGAGUUGGACUUCUGAGAUAGGAUUCAAUAGGUGAAGAGAAGAUGAGAUGGCAUAAGACUAACAUAGGCAGAAUUUUGCUAAACGAAUUGGAGAUGAAACAUCAUAAGUGCAGGUGCACAAGUAGAAAAGUAAAAUCAGAGCUCAAGGAAGGGGAAGUGAUCCAGCUGGGCAGAAAUAUGGGGCCUAUAUAGAGAUAUACCAGGAAAUAAAGCCAGGACGAAUGGCAGGGUAGGACCUGAUUGUUAAGGGUCUUAAAUGCUGGGGUCAAGAUUGUGGCCCUUACUUAAAAGUUGGUUGGGCAUGAUUUUGGGAGUUUUAACAAAAGAUGUGGCAAACUCAAAGCUUCCUUUUCAUGUAAAGUAUAGAGAAGUGGAGGUUCAUAUCAUUAAAUCACUGUAAUUUCAGUGUGAACUUCCUAACAAUUUGAGCUAACCGUGAGAUAGGACACCUUACCAAGCAAUGAGCUCUCCAUUAUCUAAACAGAAGCUGAAUUUCAAGUCCAUGUAGAGGAAGUCUUGUGUUGACUAGAACAUAAUAUGUUUGGGGGGACUUUUCUUCUUUUUUACUGAUAUUUACUAACUUGGAUAUUGUGCUAAGUGCUUUACAGGUAUUCUUAUUUAAUCCUCACAAGGCAGUAUGGUAGAUAAUAUAUUAUCUUGAAAAUAAUGGGCCAGGCACAGUGGCUCACGCCUGUAAUCCCAGCACUUUGGGAGGCCGAGGCAGGUGGAUCACCUGAGGUCAGGAGUUCAAGACCAGCCUGACCAAUAUGGUGAAAUCCUGUCUUUACUAAAAAUACAAAAAUAAGCCUGACGUAGUAGCUCACACCUGUAGUCCCAGCUACUCGGGAGGCUGAAGCAUGAGAAUCACUUGAACCCACGAGGUGGAGGUUACAGUGAGCCAAAAUCACACCACUGGACUCCAGCCUGGGCAAGAGAGCAUGACUAGGUCUCAAAAGAAAGAAAUAAAGAAGGAAAGUAAUGAGCAAAAAAUGCUGAGUGGACAGUAUUAAAUUUUAAAAAUCCUAAUGUAUUAAAGAAGGAGAAAAGUACAAAAAUUAGUCAAUAAGCAGAGAAAGAAAAUAUAAAGGUAAAAAUGUAUAUUAUCCAAAUGAAGCCUCUUUCUUAAGAAGAAAAAAUUGAGGAAAUUCAAAAAAUAAGUUAGGAAAUAGUGAGUAAAAUUAUGAAGUUAAAAAUUCACCAAAAAUUUAUUGAUAUGUCCAAGUUCAGCUUGUAGUGAACAGACUCUUCUUACGCAGAAUUUGAGCAAAGUGCUAACACAACAGAGUUAGGUAAUGGGAUGAGCGCCAGUCAGAUCACUCUAUUUUUGGAAACUGUUUUCAUGACUGCUUCCCCUUAGUCAUAGACAGGCUAUAUAAAAAGCUGUCAGAGUGGAAAGAGGGAGAGGAUUUGUGAAAAAUUUUUUAUUUAUUUAUUUUUUUUAGCAAGUUGUUAUGGUUCUGUAAGUCACCACCCUCCCAAAGGGAUGAAGUGUCGGGGUGCACUCCCCUCACCUCAGCCUAGUAGGGGGACUUCCAGGAGAUAAUGAGAGAGUUUGAUGUUUCCUCAAAUUUACAGACACAAAGACUGGUGCCUGGCUUCUCCUGAUAAAGCUAAACCUGCAUGUGGCUGGUCUCUAGUUGGCUAGAUAGUAGUAGUUAAAAUGAAAAGAAACACUUAAUGUUAGAUGCCGUCCAAUAGGGCCACCUAAAGGGACGGAAGGUUCUCAGCAGCAAGAGCCCAGAGGUAGAAGCAAGACUCCUAGCGGGGAAGGAUCGAGUCGCAAGUGAAAACCUAGACAAAGAAGCAUCUGUCCUGGUCCAGAGGCUUCCCCAAUAAAGAUGUCUCACACAACUCUAAGAAGUUAGAACUUGAGAAAAAGACUAACAAGAAAAAGAGUAAGGUGUGUGUGUGGAAGAGGUGAGGCAGUUGUUUUCCUAUAAAUAAUGUUAAAUUAAACUAAAUUUGGUCUGAGGAUGCCUCGUAAUUUGAGUCUCUACAUAACAAACUGCAACCUAACUUAGGAGUAUUUUUUUUUUGUACUAACGAGGUGAGUCUCAGCCAAUCACAGCAGCCAAGCUACAGCCAAUCCCAUGUGGCCAACUGAUCAGCCCAUGCCCAGUAAGACAACUGCUCACCUGUAACUACUCAAGCUGCUUCCGGACCUCAUUUCCAUUUGCUGUUUAUAAGUGUUGCCUGCCCACCUUGCUGAGCAGAACUCUCUGAACUUCUUUCGUUUUUGAGGGUUACUUGAUUAGAAAAUUGUUCUUUGUUCAGUUAAACUUUGCUAAAUAUAAUUCGUUUAAAGAUUUUCUUUUAACAACAAAGAUGGGGAUAUUUGAACAAUACCUUGGUUGGAGCUGACAUUCUAAUUUCUAAAUUGAGGCUAUUUGUAUUUUUAGCAGGACCCAAGGACUGUCACUUAAAAGCAGGCUAAAAAGCCUUGAAAUUUUCUAACUUUCCAUGCAAGAGCAGUGAUAGAUAACCCCACUACACAAAAUGUCAUGGGGCCAUGGAAGACAAAAAAUAAAGUUGUGUUUCAACUGCGUCUCUGAAAGAUACGAUUAUAGCACUUACACAAUAACCACUUGAGAAAAAAGAACAGCCUUGCACCAAAAAUAGAAUGAGAAGUACAAGCACAGUGAAGUAACAGGUCACUUUACAGAAAAAGUAAAGUGAGGCUCAAAGGGGACGAGCAAAUUGCCCAAGCCUGCAUGGGUGAUAAGUAGCAGAUCUGGGGCUCGAAUCCAGAUCCUGAGCUUUUAAUACCUAUGCGACACUUCCUCUGUUCCUUCCCUUAUGAGAAUGUGAUUAUGUUCAUUGGGGUGUAUCCUCUGCUAUGGUUUACAGGGGAGGGUUCACACUGUCAUCGUUCUGAAAGAUUAUUUUGAAUUUAAAAAGCUGGCAAGAUAUCUCUGAACAAUGGAACAUAGCCCAAGGCUGCAAUUUUGUUGCACACAUUACAGUGUUUUAAGGCCACUGGUGGCCUGUUCUUUGAGAUGAAAACAAUACAUCAGUAGGAGCUAAGUGAAAGAGAGUAAACUGGUCUCCAGGUACCCAAAUAGUGUGUGAAGUCAACAGAGGAACACUUCCUGUGGUCUGUUAAUAAUUCAGAAGCCCUUUAUCCUCAACCCUCCUCCACUCUCUAAUUCCUAAGUCUUCUUCCUAGUGUCUCUGACUUCCUCUUUCCAAAUAGUCUGGGCUGGCAGGCUGCAUUUAGGUAAUCACUGCACAAUACAAUUACUGAUUCUGUUUACAAGAUUCUUGCUAGUAUUUUAUUUUUACCCUUUAUAGUGUUUGGCUUUUAAAAGCAAAUGAAUAUGGAGUCAUGAUUUUUUGGCUGCCUUUCUCUUUGGCAUAUGAUAUUUAUGCCUUUAAAACUUGUUGUUGUUGUUCCAGGGCAUUUCACUGAUGAAAUUUAUCAAAAUGAACCUACGAAUCAGCCACUAAGAGACUGCAUGAAUAAAAACUGUUAGUAGGAAAAUGAUUAUGACAAAAAAACCAAAAAAAAAGCCAAAAAAAAAAAACAAAGAACAGCUUUAAGAAAAAGCCAGACUGUUAGCUUUUUUUUUUUUUUUUAAGAAGGGUUGAUAGUCUCAAACCCAGCAAUAAUUUAUCAAAGUCUGUCGCCCUGAAUGAAAUUAGAUUUCCUUUUUAGCUUCAGGAAUAGGCCAUUCCUGGAAAAGUGGAGCGCAGAAACAUUUGGUAAAAAAAUUUAUUUUUACUCACAGAAAGAGUAAUUUGCAAUGUUAUUUCUAGUGAAGGGAUGGGAACCAGGAUUCAGAUAUUCAUCUGUCUACAAUACUGAGGUCCUCCUACCUCCUCUCCCCUACAAAGGGGACCCUUGCAGUAUACAAAAGUAUUAAAUAUUUUUAAUGUAUAUUCUUAUAUCCUUUUUUCAAGCGUAAGUAUCAGUCAGAUUUCAGAGUAUAAGCUGAAGCAACAAAUAGUAAGAAAGUCCAUGGAUGAAGAUAUGUUCUUACUCAUUUUUUUACUAUUUUAUUGUUGGCUACUUCUUUUAUUUGCAUUAGAUUUAGUGUCACUAAGCUGCUAUACACGUACUCAUUUGAAGAGAUGUGCUAAAGAUUUUGGUGUGUUUUGCUAUUGAUUAUCCUAUCCAAGAGUUUGGGUUAUUCUACGAUCAAGAUGGCGGUCUGCAGUGAGCCCACCUGCCUGCCAACCUCUGCAACAACCAGCUGAGGAUAAUUGUACUGGGCUGACGCCAAGGCCAUGAUCAGAUCUGCUAGUGGCUCAGUGCACUGACUUGACACGACAUGAGGCAAACAAGCGAGGAGAGUGGCCCACCACAGUCUAAGAUUCUAUUGGGUUACCUCUGAAAUGCGAAGACAUGGUGCUCACAGAAGAGAACAAUGGGUACAAGGACUGCAAGGCUGCAAAGCUUCAUCCCAACAGCAAUUUUCUGUACAAUAAAUUUCUCUGAAGAGAAAAACCCAGAUCAUUGAUUGCAUAACAGCCUUCUUUACACACUGGUUAAAAUGUAAUGGCAUGUUCCCUCUUGUUCCUGUGGGUCAAUCAACUUAGCUUCCAUUUCCACUCCCAAAAAGAGAAAUACUAUUGGCUUAGUUAGGCUGUUGCUUGAUAAUUAAACACUCAAAAAGAGUAUGAUGAGAGUUGCUCUUAAUUUAGACUAUCUAGAAAAUGUGUAACUCCAUGGAGAAGAUAGGGCCAAGAAUAAAAGGAUAGUAAUACAGUAGCAUCUUGUCUGGUUUGUUGCAGAACAAUAGCUAUAGAAUAUUGACUAAUGGUUAUAUAGCCUAUGUUGAGGGAGAUCUACAGUGAAGUAGUAUAAAUGUUUUCCCUUGCCUCUGACUUUUUCAACAUUUUAAAUUUAUGAAGACAUAAAAAGUGAGUCCCUCAAAUCUGGCUAAUCCAAUCCAAUGCUGAAGUGCAGUUUGUCAGGAUGAUUACAGGAUCUCUGUUCAAAAAGAUGUUUCCUUGACCAUAUGGAAUGAUGGGCCCACCCCCGAUAGGAAUACUAUUUCAUGGAAGCUGGUUCAAACAGUAAAGACAUCAGGUCACUUUGAAUCUCAUUUAUUUAAAGGUCACCAUAAUAGCCAUCAAUUAAAUCGAGGCCCAUCCCCUAUCAUCUUGAAAGUAGCGUCGAAUAACAUUUUGUCUAGUAUGAGGCCAUAUCCCACCCUCUGUAAGUGGGUGGAGCCCUCUUCCCCUACAUUCCCAUUGGUUAAUGUACUUGAAUGUUCUUGAAGUCAGAAUUGGCAAAUUUGCAAAAUAAAUCAGCCUGCCCACAAUUAACUUCUGAGAAGAAAAUGAUUUUUUUUUCUUUUUCUCUUUUUUUUUUUUUUUUUUUGAGACGGAGUCUCACUCUGUAGCCCAAGCUGGAGUGCAGAGGCGCGAUCUUGGCUCACUGCAACCUUC